GCCACAUAUAGAAAAUUCAAUUAAAUUUAUACUAGCUGUUGAGAUGGGAGGCUGCAACGCCACCUUAUCAUCCUCUAAUGGCUUGCGUGAUCACCGGCAGCGCUUUUGCUGGCACCUCAAUUCUGUCAAUAGUCGCCAAAUUCAACCAUACCCAACUGCGAACAACAAAAUGUUUGAGUGCGAGGAGACGCCAGAGACUUAGUGUAUCGAACACUGUGGAGAACAUCCCAGAAAGUUCCAGUUCGAGUGAAGUAGCAGACAAGGAUUCUUCAUCCUCAGUGCUUACCCCGCGCUCUUUCACUUCACUAAUUACGAGCUCUAACAUUCGGAAAGCCCUCGAGGGUAUCGAGUGUGUGAGUGUAGAUCAUUAUGCUCGGCUAGGAAUUCCUCGUGGCUGCUCAUUUGCUGAGGUUCGUGAGGCAUUUCGGAGGAAGUGUGAAGACCUUACGCAACAAGAGUUGGAUGAAGAGAAAGUUCAAAGUAAGAUACAAGAUUUGAAGGAAUCUUAUGAGAUUUUGUCAUCAGAGGAGGAAAGAAGGUUUUAUGACUGGAGUUUAGCAAGGGUUGAAAACCAAGAAAGAUAUGUUUGGCCUUAUGAGGUUGACAUAACUCAACGGUCAUCUGAACCGGGUCCCACACAGUUUCACCAUGGAAAUGCUUGUGGUUGCAUUAAACUCAAUGACCAGCAUGAAAACAAAAUGAAGAAAUUUGAGGAUCAAAUCUGCUACCAUCUGAAGAACAUGAGGUGUCAAUCGAGUAAAAUUAGGGCCCUCUCAUCGAUAUAGGGAUUGGUAAAGGAAGUCUCAACUUCAUUUUCUCUCAAGCUUGCUGUAUGAAAUGGGCAUUCACACCUCCAAAUCCCUUUUGGAAAGUAUUCUGAGAUUUCAUUUGUACUCAUUGUACAGAUUUGAGGCAAUCAGGUAACCUUUGUAGCCUUUUUGCUCCUCACCUCUUUUGUAGCUCUCUUGAAGUCCUUCCGGUUUCUUGUGCCCCUUUGUCCACAAGGAUGCUUAUAUAUAUUUAUUGCGAUUGUUGUUUGUUUUGAAAACAAAAAGAUUGUAUUAGUAGCUAAGUUAUUGUGGAACAAGUGAACUGCUAUGAAAACAAUCUUAAUUGGGGAAGUUCCUUUCAUGAAGAAAUUAUCUUGGUAGCAGAAGAAUAGAACAUUCAUUCAUCUGAGAUUUGAAUUGCUUUGGAAAAGUAAAAUUAUGUAAUGUAAACUGACAAGCUAGAUAAAGCAGCAGUUGGAUCUUUCAUUAAACAAAAUGUGGAUCUUUCAAACUUAUUUUCUUUAUAUUUCAACUCCAGCCAAUCUGUCAAUGUUUUAUGCUUUAUCAUAAAUUUGCAGUUUAUAUAUAUAUCUUUUAUUUUAAAAUUUCUAAGUUACUGGGUUCUGUAGGGGGACCCGGAGACGGGCCCACAGCCUGUGGGUUCAGCCUUGCGAACCCCAGAAGAACCCUAUUUUGACCUCUUAAAAAACCAAAAAGGAAGCAGUAAAAAAGGCUACUCAUGGAAACAUUAAGUGCCCUGAUAAAUGCAGACUCCCCACAGGCCAUAGAUAGUGUAUUGUAGUACGUGGACUGUCAGAAUUAGUUAAAUCUGUUAAACAGUUAAACAAUGAACCAUUGAUAAAAAUUUUGGAAAACAGGCUACUUCAGAUAUUAGUUUUGGUGGCAUCCUCACCAUCAAUUGCAGAAGCUAACAACUUACCAAAACAAACUCAAUUGCUAGUACCGCUGCCAAUGCGAGUCCCAGAGCCAGUGCCAAUGCCACUCCUAGGGGCACUGUUUGUGGUUCUUCUAAUUUACUACAGCAUAUGGAGGAUGAUGACAAUAUUUUUGAUGACCCAUAUGAUAUUUGAUCAAUGAUGGCUGAUUGUUGACACUUGACAUUAUUAUUUUUGAACUAAAACAUUAAUAUAGUGGUGUAUUUACUAUUUUGCUAUGUUAUUUGAACUAAAACUUAAUAUACAUUAUGACAGUUGAGUUUUGACUAUUAA